UGAGGAUGAACAGCUAUCUCUUUUUAUCUAAAGUCUCUGUGAAUGUGUGAUGUGCGUAGGAAGGAACUGAACUUUGAAUUAAGAGGGAUAAUCAUGUCUGGUGUUAGUGGCCCAGUUCUGACCCUUCCAGUCCACCAGAGCUCUCGGACCCUGGAUACGGACGUUUCUCUCCCCUCUGUUCCGCUCAUUUUCCACUCUGCAGACUCCAGACCCUCUCUGCACUCUGCUGAACUGUGUGGGCUAACUGAGCGCACUUGGACUUGCUGCUGUCCUGCAGCACAGCCUUUUCACCUGGGUCAGAACCUGCCCCAGGUAGACGCUGCACCAUUACGCAUAGUUAAGCACAAGCCCAGCUCCAUCGUCUUCUGCGAAAAGACUAAUUCAACACAGAACAGUUACCUCAUCAGAUCUGAACACAGAUCCUGCAGCAGUGAGAGUUCAGCUGAAGAGGCUCCGUCAGGACAGUGUGACGACGAUGAUGAUGGCCGUGUGGUUGAUGAUGAAGAUGAGGAUAGUGUUCCUCUUGAGCUGUACAGACAGUUCUUCAUCAGCCGCAAACGGAGAGACAUGAACAUGAAGAGACUAAACAGAAGAAGAUCAAAAGUAGGAACACACACUUCUGUGAGAACAGUUGAAGAGGACACUGGAAUGAAGGACAAAAAGGAUGGUGUUUCAGUAAAUGGAGAAAAGGUGGGGCUUAGGAUGAACACUGAAACCGCAGAAAUUGAAGCAAAGGAAGCAUGCGAUUGGCUGAGGGCAGCAGGAUUCCCGCAAUAUGCCCAACUAUAUGAAGAUUCACAGUUUCCCAUUGACAUCUCUGCUGUCAAAAAGGACCAUGACUUCCUCGACAGAGAUCUGGUGGAGCCGCUGUGCCGGCGGCUCAACACUCUGAACAAGUGCGCCCCCAUGAAACUGGACGUGGGCUUCCCCAAGAAGAGAAACGAGGAUUCAGAUGAGGACGACCUGCUGGCCAUUAGCAGCAGAUGGACGUUUGAGAGGAGCAGCCGCCGCUGGUCUCGUCUGCAGGACAUUGACCUCCUCCUGGCGGGCGCAGAUGGGCGGAGUACUUUACAAGGUCCGGGGAUGCGAACUACAGUGAGCAGCGAGAGCGUCCUGACCGACCUGAGUGAGCCGGAGAUCUGCUCCCUGAACAGCGAGGACUCCCUCUCCAUCAUGCCUGACUCCGCCUCCCUCGCCCCACUGAGUGUGCCCCGGGACCUGCCUCACUACAACUCACUUCCUGCCAAAAGUGGGCGGCGUGGGCGCACACGCGCCAAGGACUUCUUACGGCGGAUGGAGACUUUGGGCCGGUCGUGGGCACCCUCGGUGGGACGCCCAGAGCGCCGUUCAUUGGCCAUCAGUGGGCCAAUCCUGCAGAGCCAACCAGAAGCUCUCAAAAAAAUGCACUGCGUCCCAAUAGUCAACGGAGAGACAUUAAGUUUUGAAAAGUCACCGUCUGCUUCCAAUUGCUCAACCGUGCUUGCUAAUAGUGAGGAGACUAGCCAGUUAGAGAACAGUGGUAUUACCGGGCCCGACUUGAAGGAGAGUGUAUCCAAACCCCAUAGUGCCAGCAAGAGAGCAGGAGUGUACCUGGAAGAUCUGGAUGUGCUCUCUGGCGUCCCCCAAAGGAGGAGGCCUGUAGAGCAGAGCCGCAGACACGAGUUUUGCUCUUACGAUGACCUGGUGGUGCACAUCCCAAAGGACCACAAGCCGGGAACCUUCCCUAAGGCACUGUCCAUUGAGAGCCUGGCCCCUGCAAGUGGGAACACUGGAAACUGGAGGGUCCAAGAGCCAGAACGGGUUCGGCCGCCACGGGUUGUGAAGACUGCCGGUCACAGAGAGCAGAGGCCGGUGACGCGCUGCUGCCCUCGGGGAAGCCGGAUCAGUGUUUAUGACAAUGUGCCGGGUUCACACCUGUAUGCCAGCACUGGAGACCUGAUGGACCUGGAGAAAGAGGACCUCUUCCCGCAUUUAGAUGAUAUCCUGCAGCAUGUGAACGGCCUGCAGCAGAUCGUGGAUCAUUGGUCCAAGAAUGUCUUGCCAGAGGGUGAUGGCGAGGGGGAGGGGGAGAUGACGGAUGCGCAGUCGUCCAGUCAGAUUACGUUGGAUUUCGAAGGGACCUCGGUGAAUACGCCCAGCGAUGGAGACAGGGACGGUGUGUCUCUAAACGAAACAGACACUUCAAGCACUCGAGAGCGACGGGACUCAGGGGUGGGGGCAUCACUAACACGACCUUGUCUCAGGUGGCCCAGUUUUAGGAUGUCAAAUCGUCUCAGCCAAUCAGGAGCUUGCUUACAAAUCUCCAGCCAGUCAGCAAGCCAGCUCAGCUUGUUGCAGAAAUUCUCAUUGCUACGUCUGACAGCCAUCAUGGAGAAAUACUCCAUAUCCAACAAACACGGCUGGACCUGGUCAGUGCCAAAGUUCAUGAAGCGGAUGAAGGGACCAGAAUACAAGGAUAAGAGUGUGUUUGCAGUGCCGCUGAUCCUGCAUGUGCAGCGCUAUGGCCAGCCUCUGCCGCUCUGCCUGCAGCUAGCGUUGCGCUACCUCCGGAGCCAGUGUCUGGACCAGGUAGGGCUUUUCCGCAAGUCUGGUGUGAAGUCUCGAAUCCUGGCUUUGAGGCAGAUGUGCGACAGUUCACCAGAGAGUGUGGACUAUGAGGACCAGUGUGCGUACGACGUGGCAGAUAUGGUAAAGCAGUUCUUUAGAGACCUUCCUGAACCAUUGCUCACCAGCAAAUUGGGCGAGACCUUCCUCCAUAUUUACCAGUACGUCCCUAAAGAGCAGCGCUUGCAGGCCGUGCAGGCAGCAAUCAUGCUGAUGGCAGACGAGAACCGUGAGGUCCUGCAGACCCUGCUCUGCUUCCUGAGUGAUGUCACUUCCUCUGUGGAGGAGAACCAGAUGACACCAAUGAACCUGGCUGUGUGUCUCGCUCCCUCUCUCUUCCAUCUCAACAUUAUGAAGAACGACAACCUGUCUCCGAGGGCCAUCCAGAAGAAGUACGCCACUGGAAGACCUGACCAAAAGGACCUCAAUGAGAACCUUGCUGCCACCCAUGGACUUGCCCAUAUGAUCACUGAGUGCAACCGGCUCUUUGAGGUUCCAAAGGAGAUGGUCACUCAGUCCAGGAACUCCUAUAUGGAGGCUGAGCUGCUGGUGCCCCCGCUGGACGAGCUGUGCAAACAGUGUCAGCAGUGUGAGGAAGAGGAAGAGGAAGUAGAAGAGGAAGGCACAUAUCGCUGUCACCUGCAGCGACAGAUCCAGAACCUGCUGAAGGAAGCCAGAGACAAGACCAAGUGCUGGGUAGCCCGACCCAAUAUUAACAAUGUGGAGCUGUCUUUCAGAAAGGUGGGUGAUGGAUCUCCACUGCGUCGGUGGCGUGUCUCAGUUGAAGUGGAGGCUCCACCCUGUGUGGUGCUGAACCGUGUGCUGCGAGAGCGCCAUCUGUGGGACAGUAACCUCCUGCAGGGGAAAGUUCUGGAAACACUGGACAAGCAGACUGAGGUGUACCAGUAUGCCAUCAACAGCAUGGCCCCUCACCCCAGCAGAGACUUUGUGGUGCUAAGGACAUGGCGUACAGACAUGCCAAAGGGAGCUUGUGUGUUGGUGUCGGUUUCCAUUGACCAUGAGGACAGCAUGCCUAUGGCAGGCGUUCGGGGCGUGGUUCUGGAGUCUCAGUACCUGCUGGAACAGUGCGGUUCUGGCAAGUCCAGACUCACACACAUCUGCCGAGUGGACCUCAAGGGGAAGUCUCUGGAGUGGUAUAACAAAGCAUUUGGACAUCUAUGUGCUGCUGAGGUGGCCUCCAUCCGCAACUCCUUCCAGCCUCUUGAUACUGAAGGCCCCGAGACCAAAAUCUAAGCCUGACUGUAGAGGAAGACAUGGAGUGUCUGGAGGAUCAGAGUUAGAGCCAGGAAAACACAGUCCAAAGAUCCGAGCGGACCAGGGUCGCGAUGGAUGUGUAGGGUUUAAGUGGGUCAGAACGUGAGAGAGGUGGAACGAUUAGAAAGUUGAAAAAGUAAAGGGAUGAAAAGAGAGUGAAAGAGAUUGAUGGACAUUUUUGCAGCUAUAACCAGACUCUCAAAAUAACAGACUAACAGACAUAUAACCCCUGAUUCCAAUGAUCCUUUUUGAUGAUUUGUUGUGCAGUAUUUUAACUGAAAUUAGAUCCAAUAAGGGCGCUUGGCUUGUUAUAUUUCUGGGUAGUCAGAACUCCACUGCCAGCCCGACAGGGUCCCGGACUGGUGGAUGUAAUUGUGAGCAGAGUGAGUGCAGAGUGGAGGUGUAGGGAUGAGAAGCGAAGGCCAGAGAAAGUGAUGAGCGAGGCUCUGCGGCUGUCAGUCAGCUUUGCAUAUACAGUAGAAGCAGUCAGUGUGAAACGGUGGUCUGCUGGUCAAGUCUAUUUUAUUUUUUCACAGCUGUGCUUUAAGCCUGCCUGCGCAGAAAAGUACUGUACUAACUCCUGCAGAUAGCGCUGAGGCGUGCAAUACUGUGUUAACCAUUGCGUUAUGUCUUCGUCGAGCACUAUGUUCUGCUUUAGUAGCUUUUAUAAAAGUAGACAUCACUUCAGCCCCAUUUAUUGUGUCUAGCUGGUGCAUUAAGGGCGUUUGUUUUCACACCUGUAAUUGGUUUACUCUUGGUUUGGCAUUUUUUCAUUGCUGUAGUAAUUAUCUGGACAGGAUACCAGUAGAACUGGCCUUUAGCUCGAACCUGCUGAGUGCACCUAAUAGUUGGGUCGGAUCCAGGUUCUUAAUGCGGUCGUUUUGUUCCACAUCUGAGUACGAUUACUGUAUUCACUAGGGCUGUGUGAAUAACCAUGUUUAUAUCGUUAUCGCAAAGUAAAUUUUCACUAUAAGCUUAUAGUGAAAGAUCUGCGAUAGCACCUUUAAUAACAGCAUAACAGCAAACUCUUAACACUUGCAUUACACGUGUUCAGCAACAGAGGGAGCUCUUCAUGCUGCAGAGUGUGCUCACAUGUGUACGCACAAAUAGGCUGGAUGUAGAGCGAGGCAGAGUGAGGUAUAGUGAGGUAAAGGUAAAAAGUAAAUUCCCACUAAAUGUAAAAAACAGAGACUGUAAAAAAGAUGGACGUCGUGUCGCCGUUCCCAUUCAUUUAAUGAAAAUGAAGCCAAAAUCUUCCUCCAUGUUUGUGAUCCUGAUACCCGAUUCUGCGCAGUAGAGACCGGAGGAGGGAGAAAGACUGUGGAGAGACCGCCUACUAAUUUAAAUAACCCCGCCCCUGAGGGCUGCCUCGAGGUCACAGGCUGCAGAGCGGAGCGGAGCGGAGCUGACGGUCUGUUAUUGGCCCCGCCCAUAACCAGCCCUUUUACAAUAACCACACGUUUGUUGAAUAGAGCUGAAUAACGUUUUAAAAAACGAAUUCUGUGAGGAUAUAAAAAUUUAACAAUAUAAGCAGAGGUUACACUAGCUGCUGCAUUUAAAUAAUGGAGGUAGAAUUACAGUAUAUUAGAAAAAAACGUGAUUGAAAGUUGUUCUGUUUCUCCAUUGAAACCUAUGGGGAUGGGUGGGGUUACACAGCUUUCUGAAACCGAACAGCAGGGGGCGCCCGACCUGUGGUGGCUUCACUUUUGAGAGACGAUGCUCUGUCCAGCUAUACACAGUCUAUGAUUCAGGCACACUCAAAACAGAGGACAAAGAAUUAUUUAUAAGAAGUAUUAAUUUUUUUAUAAGAAGUAUUUAAUUGUUGAAAAUAAUACUAAUCACCAUCACCGUAGUUUUAAUGCUGUAUCGCCGUUUUCUCCAUAACAACCAUAAAAAAUUAUUAUUGCUAGGAGUUGUUCUCAGUAGCUUUCUUGCUAGCUAGCUAACUUUCCCUUUCCACCUCAAAUGGUUAAACAGACAACAGAGGCUGCAUCAUUUAAGGUGGAAGGGAAAAUAGAAUAAAAGCUAAAUAUAGAGUUUCAGCUUCCCAGCAUAGAUUUAUUAUAAUUAAGGAAUGGACAAUAAUAAUGAAUUGCUGCACCACCUGCCCCCUUAUUAAAAACAUUUGAUGAGUAACCUAAAGUUAACUAAUUGAGCAGCUGUUAGGUUGCUGAACAGGGUCGCCUACAGGUUCUUGAAAGGUUGUCCCAGUGCUUAGGGGGAGGAUUUCACCAUUUCCUCAUGUAACUAACCAGCUAAUUAAGGUCUGAGACCAUAGUAAAAAAAAAAGUUUUAGGCUUUAAGCCUUCUCUCAAAGGUCUCAGGGCGUUUUUUUUGGUAUAAAUCCGACUUAAUAACUUAAUACCUUUUGGAAAUCAGUUUAUCUUCGUUCCAUUUUACUGUUUACAGUAACUGAUCUGACUACAGGCUCAUUUUAACCAGCUGUGCCCAAAUGUUUUAAUGCCUCUGUAUCUCGCUAUCUAGUGCUCAGUCUGUCACUUUAUAUAUUAAGUACUAUGCAAUGGUCAGAGACCUCACUUUAUUAAUUUUUAAAUACAUUUUUCACUCAAAACAACCGCUAAGUACAGUAAGAUUUAAAUGCAAUAGAAACCUCAACAACUAAAGAGAAGAUCAGUAUUUUCAUGUCUGUCCUUUUUAUCCAAAUUAGGAGGUUUGUAAAUACGUAGAGUCUGGAGCCUGGGGCUCUGAGUGGUCCAGCAGGCAAAGCGCUGCCACUAUGAUCAGGAGAUCGCUGGUUCGAAUCCUGUUCAUGUAGCUUGCCAUUGACUACAGGAGCCUCGCUCUCUCUGGGUGGGUAGAUGGCGCUCUCUUUCCCCACAUCACUCAAAAGGGAGAGGUCAUUCAGCACAAGGCUGCGUCUGUGAGCUGAUGUAUAUGAACCUGUAUCUAUCGCAGCGCUUUACUCAGAGUGCGCUGUGAUGCUGCUCAGCAAUGCUGAGCAAAAAAAAAAUAUAUAUAAUUUCUAAUCACCAUGAACUUAAUUGGCAGUUCUACAUCCUUUUGGACCCCCAGUUUUUGAAACCAUCAUGUUUUAAAAUUGAAUCCCGGUUGUGUUCAGCCUUUUUUGAGUGGAAUAUUUUAAUCUCUUAAUCUACUAAAAAUGAAUUAACCUGUAUUUAAUGGCCGUUUUGACUGAAAAUCCCAAAAAUAAUGAAUGGUGGUCUCUGACUAUACACAGUACUGUACACAAACUGUCCACUUUAUUAGAAACACCUAGCCUGUAGUGUUUUCUUUUUAACCGUUUUAUACUAUAGUCUGUAUUUGAGUUCAUGCACUGCUGCCCUCUGCAUUGCCUUCCACAUUGGUCAGUUUCUGGCUGCUGGACCAAUCACUGUUCACCAAAUGAAAACUGUAAAAGAGGCAGGGCAGUCAGAUAAGCCAGAUGUUUCUGAGAAAGUGGUCAGUAACAGUAUAAAACUCACCACCCCCUCCACCCCCAUACACACACAUCUCUAUGCUGACUCAUGUCUGAUAGGGAGGUGGAUGCUGGUGGGCGUGACCCUUUAGCUGCCAGUCUGCACCGCCCCCUGCCUCUCUCAUCUUUGAUUCAGUCCCACCUCAUGGACAACAAGACCAGUGCAUUCACACACGCUCACAAACACAAUUACACACUAAAUUCUCAAAUAUUUGCUUCAUUUUAGUCUAGUUUCUAACUCAGAAAAAUUAAAGGUAUCUUAUUUAUCCGUUCCACAUCCUGAAAUGGGACUGAAUCUCUUCCUCCUCCUCCUCCUCUUUUACUGCUUGCUGCUUUAUAACAGUGGCAAACCAUGAGCUACAUCAGCUACUCCUGUCCUAAGCCUGGUUUCACUGUCCCGGGUGCUUCAGACUCUCUCCUCCGCUUCCUGUCCUCAUCCAGCCCCUCAGACCUCCGACUCUGGUGUUGAGUGCAUCCACCAGCCUGUAGCUGUAUUCUCAGCGUAGGUCAGCUGAGCUUGUAGAGGUGGGGAUGCUAUUAAAUCAGUGUUUGUGAAGCCUUUGCCCUCACCACAACUCCCUUCUGCCCCCUGUGGUAGAAUCCUAGUGCUUGUUAGCAGCUUUAAUAACACUUAGUGCAGUGGUUUCCAGUCCUGCUCCUGAAGAUCCUCUGUUCUGCAGAGUUUAGUGUUUUCCUCCUCUGCUCUGCUUAAA